rnacentral:rRNA from 1 species
UAUGGCUCAGAUUGAACGCUGGCGGCGUGCUUAACACAUGCAAGUCGCGCGUGAAAGGACUUCGGUCCGAGUAAAGCGGCGCACGGGUGAGUAACGCGUGGAUGAUCUACCCAUGAGUUAGGAAUAACGGCUGGAAACGGUCGCUAAUACCAAAUACGCUCCGAUUUCAACUUCGGGGGAAAGGUGGCCUCUGCUUGCAAGCUACUGCUCAUGGAUGAGUCCGCGUCCCAUUAGCUAGUUGGUGGGGUAACGGCCCACCAAGGCGACGAUGGGUAGCCGGUCUGAGAGGAUGACCGGCCACACUGGGACUGGAACACGGCCCAGACUCCUACGGGAGGCAGCAGUGGGGAAUAUUGCGCAAUGGGCGAAAGCCUGACGCAGCGACGCCGCGUGAGGGAUGAAAGGUCCUCGGAUCGUAAACCUCUGUCAGGAGGGAAGAACCGCCACGGUGCUAAUCAGCCGUGGUCUGACGGUACCUCCAAAGGAAGCACCGGCUAACUCCGUGCCAGCAGCUGC